rnacentral:rRNA from 1 species
UGAGCAAUCUGCCCUUCACAUCGGAACAACCAUUGGAAACGAUGGCUAAUACCGAAUAUGACUUCGGAUCGCAUGAUCUGAAGUGGAAAGCUCCGGCGGUGAAGGAUGAGCUCGCGGCCUAUCAGCUUGUUGGUGAGGUAAUAGCUCACCAAGGCGAUGACGGGUAGCCGGCCUGAGAGGGUGACCGGCCACACUGGGACUGAGACACGGCAGA